AGACAACGCAUCCAACGAGCCAAUUCCAGCGGGGUCGAGCGGACAGUUGGGAGCUUGCUCCCUGAAAGUAGCCGGCGACGGGUGAAGUAACACGGUGGGCAACCUGCCUGUUAGACUGGGAUAACUCCGGGAAACCGGGGCUAAACCGGAUAAUUCUUUUCUCUCAUGAGGAAAAGCUGAAAGAUGGUUUCGGCUAUCACUUACAGAUGGGCCCGCGGCGCAUUAGCUAGUUGGUGAGGGAACGGCUCACCAAGGCCACGAUGCGUAGCCGACCUGAGAGGGUGAUCGGCACACUGGACUUGAGACACGGCCCAGACUCCUACGGGAGGCAGCAGUAGGCUUCCGCAAUGGACGAAAGUCUGACGAGCAACGCCGCGUGAGUGAUGAAGGUUUUCGGAUCGAAAACUUCUGUUGUCAGGGAAGAACAAGUACCGAGAACUGCCGGUACCUUGACGGUACCUGACCAGAAAGCCACGGCUAACUACGUGCCAGCAGCCGCGGUAAUACGUAGGUGGCAAGCGUUGUCCGGAAUUAUUGGGCGGUAAAGCGCGCGCAGGCGGUUCCUUAAGUCUGAUGUGAAAGCCCCCGGCUCAACCGGGGAGGGUCAUUGGAAACUGGGAACCUUGAGUGCAGAAGAGAAGAGUGAAAUUCCACGUGUAGCGGUGAAAUUGCGUAGAGAGUGUGAGAACACCAGUGGCGAAGGCGGCAAAAUUGGUCUGAACUGACGUUGGAAAGCAACCCUUGGAUGCACCCUCCAGGGCAUGAUUUCCAAGGGUUUCGCCCUUUUGUGCGUGCAGCAAACGCAAUUAAGCACUCCGCCUGGGGAGUACGGCCGCAACGGCUGAAACUCAAAUGGAAUUGACCGGGGGCCCGCACAAGCGGUGGAGCAUGUGGUUUAAUUCGAAGCAACGCGAAGAACCUUCCAGGUCUUGACAUCUCCUGACAACCCUAGAGAUAGGGCGUUCCCCUUCGGGGGACAGGAUGACAGGUGGUGCAUGGUUGUCGUCAGCUCGUGUCGUGAGAUGUUGGGUUAAGUCCGCAACGAGCGCAACCCUUGAUCUUAGUUGCCAGCAUUCAGUUGGGCACUCUAAGGUGACUGCCGGUGACAAACCGGAGGAAGGUGGGGAUGACGUCAAAUCAUCAUGCCCCUUAUGACCUGGGCUCACACGUGCUCAAUGGAUGGUACAAAGGGCUGCAAAACCGCGAGGUUAAGCGAAUCCCAUAAAACCAUUCUCAGGUUCGGAUUGCAGGCUGCAACUCGCCUGCAUGAAGCCGGAAUCGCUAGUAAUCGCGGAUCAGCAUGCCGCGGUGAAUAAAGUUCCCGGGCCUUGUACACACCGCCCGUCACACCACGAGAGUUUGUACACCCGAAGUCGGUGGGGUACCUUUUGACGCCAGGAACCAUACCGGUUGAUACUACU
rnacentral:rRNA from 1 species